AAUAAAACUCUUCUUCCACUCUCUGCUCCAUCUUUCUACCAUCACCACCUCCUCCUCCCACCACCGCCACCGCCACCGUCGUAACCACCGUCCACCACCGCCAUAACCUCCUUCCACACCACCACCCCUCUCUCUCUCUGUCUCUUCAGGAGCCGGAUCUGCAGAUUUAGUGGAAGGUUAGGGUUUGUUCUUAAUAAAAAUUGGGGUUUUCAUGUACAAAAUAGGAUAGGUCAAAUUGAGGGUUGAAGGUUGAUGAAGGAUGGUGGCAGGCAGGGUUGAUGGCGGCUAUUGAUGGCGGUCGUUGUUGAUGAAGGACGGUGGCAGGUGGGUUGAUGUUGGCGGUUGUUGAUGAAGGAUGGUGGCAGGCGGGCGGUGUUCGUUGAAGGUUGAUGAAGGAUGGUGGCAGGUGGUGGUCCGGUUGGGAGCUACGGUGGUGGAGGAGGUCAAAUUGGGUUUAUUUAUGGUCCGAUAUAUAAACAGUUUAUUUAUGCAUUACAAGUUUACAAGCAAAAGGAAAGAUAAGGCACCCUUGUCUCGUUUUCUUUGGCCCACAAACUAGAACUCGAACAUUUGAUUCUUUUUGCUCAAAACAGGAUAGGUCAAAUUGGGUAAUCGAAGGUUUGCACAAUUUUGAAGCU